GUUUGAUGGUGUUGUAGGUGUUGGCAAUGGAGGGAAGGCAAAGGCACGGCGGCGGUGGUCACGGUGGUCGUGGUGGCGCGAUGGUGGCUUUUGGCUUGCUGCUGUUUUUUUUUAAUUUUCUCUGCUAUUUUUUCUUUUGUUCCCGAAAAAAAAUAAAAUCCUCCUUUCCCUUUCCUUCAAUUUUCUUUUAAAUGCUUCAAUUUUUGUUGUUUUCCUUCUUGUUUUCAGGUGGCAUGGAGGUGGGGAGCAUGGCUGAUUGGCGGUGUCAGGCGUAGGGUGCGGUGCACGCCCGGAUG
rnacentral:lncRNA from 1 species